UACGUAGGGGGCAAGCGUUGUCCGGAAUCACUGGGCGUAAAGCGCGCGCAGGCGGUCAUUCACGUCCGGGGUGAAAACCCAGAGCUCAACUCUGGGACUGCCUUGGAUACGGGGUGACUUGAGGAUCGGAGAGGCAAGGGGAAUUCCACGUGUAGCGGUGAAAUGCGUAGAGAUGUGGAGGAACACCUGUGGCGAAGGCGCCUUGCUGGCCGAUUUCUGACGCUGGAGGCGCAA
rnacentral:rRNA from 1 species